GAUGAAGAACGUAGCGAAAUGCGAAAAGUAAUGUGAAUUGCAGAAUUCAGUGAACCAUCGAAUCUUUGAACGCACAUUGCGCCCGCUGGAACUCCGGCGGGCACGCCUGUCCGAGCGUCAUUUCAACCCUCAGGCCCCCCUUCGCGGGCGGGCCUGGUGUUGGGGCCCGGCCGCUACCCUGCGGCCGUCCCCUAAAUUCGGUGGCGGCCUCGCCGUGAUCCCUUGCGUAGUAAUGCACCUCGCACCGGAGAGCGCCGUGGCCACGCCGUAAAACCCCCAAUUUUCAAUGGUUGACCUCGGAUCAGGUGGGAAUACCCGCUGAACUUAAGCAUAUCAAUAAGUGGAGGA
rnacentral:misc_RNA from 1 species